GCCGGGGCCGGGCCGGGGAGGGGCGGGCACGGUGCAGCGCCGCCUCCCGUUCGCCUCUGCGCCUGGCCCGGCGACUGCGGGCGCUGCGGUCCACUGGGUCCGCCUCUUCCCGGCAUGGGUUUCUGCCCAGCUCACCCGCUGUCAGCUGGGGUCCUGCUCUGGUGGGAGGAAGAGGCUCAGACGCUUCCCUGCCCUCUCGCCUCAACCACCUCGAGGCAGCGGCUCCCAGGAUGUGCACUUUGACGACUAAAGCUGAGCCGGCGCCGCCACGACCUUGGGCGGGUGGUCGGCCUCUGCCCUGAGCAGGAAGUAGAAAGUCUCAGCAGACCCUUCCUGAGGGCCGAGCAACAGUGUAGUGGCGUAUUCCACAUAGCAAACAGAUAGAGUCUUGCUCUGUGACCCAGGCUUGUGUGCAGCGGUACGAUAUUGGCUCACUGCGACCUCCACCUCCCAGGUUCAAGCAAUUCUCCUGCCUCAGCCUCCCAAGUAGCUGGGAUUACAGGCAUGUGCCAG
rnacentral:lncRNA from 1 species